GGUUGAUCCUGCCAGUAGUCAUAUGCUUGUCUCAAAGACUAAGCCAUGCAUGUCUAAGUAUAAAUAAUUUAUACAGUGAAACUGCGAAUGGCUCAUUAAAUCAGUUAUAAUUUACUUGAUUAUAUUAAAUUACUUGGAUAACCGUAGUAAUAUAGAGCUAAUACAUGCAAAAAAACCUGACUUUUUGGAAAGGUUGUAUUUAUUAGAUACAAAAAUCAACAUAAUUAAUUGAUGAUUCAUAAUAACUUAACAAAGCGAGAUAUUAUUAUCUUGCUGAUUCAAACAAGUUU
rnacentral:rRNA from 1 species